UGUGUCCAAGAACGCAAAUCGCGAUAUGUCACAUUAGAAAACCGUUUUUUUUUAUUUAUGAUCAUUUAUACAAUGACUUUGUGUCAGGAAAUUUGGACUAUGAAUUCAAGGAUAUCGAAAGCGCAAGAAUCGUUGAACACAUUGGUACAAAAAAACAUGUCAGGAUUAUAGAAAUUAUAAGGAAUUGACACCAGCACGAACUUGUUAGAUUGAUGACCGUAUAUUGAGCUAAAACAAGGGUCGACAAACAUUAAUAUUAUAGCAAUUCCUUAGACUUUAAUACCCAUGGCUGUUGUUUUUUGUUGACAAACAGCAAACACCCUCUGUCCCAAUACCCUCAAUAUAGUCAUUAAACAACAACUUCUUUUUAGUUCAGUUCAUGUUUUACAUCAUAAUUGUAUUUGCAUCUUGCUUUAGCACCAACCC
rnacentral:lncRNA from 1 species